UCCCUGAUAGCUCAGUUGGUGAAGAAGCUGCCUGCAAUGCAGAAGACCCUGGUUCAACUCCUGGGUCGGGAA
rfam:TPA: Bos taurus chromosome 7, whole genome shotgun sequence.